UAAUUUACUUGUGUGCCCACACAGGAGGAAAUUGUCUAUAAAUUAAAAAUAAAAUGGCCCACUUAAGGAACUCUAAAAAUCCCUUUUAGUCUCAGAUUGGUCUACCCUUGGGUACAAUUUGAUCUUUAAGCCACAUGUAGAUAGGCACCAGCACAUAGUACGCUGCCGCCAAGCCACCCAAAAUAAAACGCAGAAGGAACACA
rnacentral:misc_RNA from 1 species